UACGUAGGGGGCAAGCGUUACCCGGAUUCACUGGGCGUAAAGGGGGCGUAGGCGGCCGUGUAAGUCCGGUGUGAAAUGCCACGGCUCAACCGUGGAACUGCGCUGGAAACUACACGGCUUGAGGACGGUAGAGGGAGACGGAACUGCUGGUGUAGGGGUGAAAUCCGUAGAUAUCAGCAGGAACGCCGGUGGGGAAGCCGGUCUCCUGGGCCGCUCCUGACGCUGAGGCCCGAAAGCUAGGGGAGCAAACCGG
rnacentral:rRNA from 1 species